ACCUUCUCAGGAUCGCAUCUGGAGAGGUUCCAGUCCUCUACCAGUCUCGGCUAUGGGAGGGAGAGUCAAGUAGAGGCCUACCCAUUCCAUUCCUAGCUUGGCCUGUGGCUAGCGAGUGGAAGGCCAUCUGCUACAAGU
rnacentral:snoRNA from 1 species